rnacentral:rRNA from 1 species
GAUGAACGCUGGCGGCGUGCCUAAUACAUGCAAGUCGAGCGAACGGACGAGAAGCUUGCUUCUCUGAUGUUAGCGGCGGACGGGUGAGUAACACGUGGAUAACCUACCUAUAAGACUGGGAUAACUUCGGGAAACCGGAGCUAAUACCGGAUAAUAUUUUGAACCGCAUGGUUCAAAAGUGAAAGACGGUCUUGCUGUCACUUAUAGAUGGAUCCGCGCUGCAUUAGCUAGUUGGUAAGGUAACGGCUUACCAAGGCAACGAUGCAUAGCCGACCUGAGAGGGUGACCGGCCACACUGGAACUGAGACACGGUCCAGACUCCUACGGGAGGCAGCAGUAGGGAAUCUUCCGCAAUGGGCGAAAGCCUGACGGAGCAACGCCGCGUGAGUGAUGAAGGUCUUCGGAUCGUAAAACUCUGUUAUUAUGGAAGAACAUAUGUGUAAGUAACUGUGCACAUCUUGACGGUACCUAAUCAGAAAGCCACGGCUAACUACGUG